CCCAAAACGCUUCCAGGGGUAUCUAACGCACAACCUCCCGCGAUCAAUAAAAACGUCAAAGCAGCAUGGCCCAACAGUCUCCCUCCGCCUCUACCACAAAACGGCUCAUCCGUGAGCUCAACGACUAUGCCAAAUCCCCCAACGAAGCUCUCCUACACCUCGGCCCCAUAAACGAUACGGACCUGUUGCGCUGGGAAGCAGUCCUCAAAGGCAUAAAAGGCACGCCAUACGAAGGCGGCCUCUGGCACCUAACUCUUACAAUCCCGCCAAACUACCCGCUCCACCCUCCAGCCAUAGCCUUUACGACCCGCAUCUGCCAUCCAAACGUCUCCUUUACGACGGGCGAGAUCUGUCUAACCCUUCUCACCACCGAACAUUGGAGCCCUGCAUACACGUUGUCAACGACAAUGUCAGCUAUUCAGCAGUUGUUGACGGAUCCUAGGCCCG
rnacentral:sRNA from 1 species